GACGAACCGAGCGAACGUUGUUCGGAAUCACUGGGCUUAAAGGGCGCGUAGGCGGGCUGCCGCGUCCGGGGUGAAAUCCUCCGGCUCAACCGGGGAAGCGGCGCCGAUACGGCCGGCCUGGAGGGGGGUAGGGGGACCUGGAACUUCCGGUGGAGCGGUGAAAUGCGUUGAGAUCGGAAGGAACGCCCGUGGCGAAAGCGAGGUCCUGGACCCUUUCUGACGCUGAGACGCGAAAGCCAGGGGAGCGAACGGG
rnacentral:rRNA from 1 species